rnacentral:rRNA from 1 species
GACGAACGCUGGCGGCGUGCCUAAUACAUGCAAGUUGAGCGCUGAAGGUUGGUACUUGUACCAACUGGAUGAGCAGCGAACGGGUGAGUAACGCGUGGGGAAUCUGCCUUUGAGCGGGGGACAGCAUUUGGAAACGAAUGCUAAUACCGCAUAAAAACUUUAAACACAAGGUUUAAGUUUGAAAGAUGCAAUUGCAUCACUCAAAGAUGAUCCCGCGUUGUAUUAGCUAGUUGGUGAGGUAAAGGCUCACCAAGGCGAUGAUACAUAGCCGACCUGAGAGGGUGAUCGGCCACAUUGGGACUGAGACACGGCCCAAACUCCUACGGGAGGCAGCAGUAGGGAAUCUUCGGCAAUGGACGAAAGUCUGACCGAGCAACGCCGCGUGAGUGAAGAAGGGUUUCGGAUCGUAAAACUCUGUUGGUAGAGAAGAACGUUGGUGAGAGUGGAAAGCUCAUCAAGUGACGGUAACUACCCAGAAAGGGACGGCUAACUACGUG